ensembl:lncRNA
GGGAGGGAGCGGGCGGCGCCCGGCUGCGGUGGGCGAAGCUGCCGAGCGCGGGGGAUCUGUGCGGGGAAAGGCGGAGAUGGAGCCGUGGGGGAUCGAUGACGGGAACUCUCAGUAAGGCACAGGAACGGUGUUAAUUAAUGGCACAGUCCCGGGGCGGGAUGGAGGAGAAGCGAUGGAGGGGUGGGGGUCGCUUGCAGAAAUCCUUGCCCUGCCGAGGACCGAGCAUAGUGGAAGCGCUCCAUGGAAGGAGCAGAAUCUCACCUUGGCUAUUUGAUUGGUGCAAAUGUGGCACCAGCAGACUGAUGGUGUAUUUUUGUUCCUACAUAACAUAAAGGAGCAGGUCGGAACGCAUCAAAGUACGAGUUUGGUCUGUUUUUCAAAAUUUUAGCAUCAUUAUCACAUUUCUUUGGCUAAGAGGAGAAGAGAAAGGAGUCAGUGGACAUCCCUCCCUGCAAGAGCAUGGAAGGCAUUUGUAAUUCACACAGCCUUAGAAAUCCCAUGGCUGAUGUAUUGCUGCUUCGAAAUCUAUAUUCACAAAAUGCAAAUUUGGAGAAAUGCCAGUUCCACCGUCAUGUUACAACCUGGACUUGCCAGAGCUGGGAAUGGCAGAUUUGGUGUCAUCAGCAGUGCUUCAGCACAUCUACAGUUGGGAAGAAAUGUUUGGAUGUAUUUGUGACAGAAGAGAAAAGCAGCAAUUACUGACAGGGAGUCUCUGAGGCACAUCCAAGUGCAUCAUCACAUGAAGCAGCCUGUCUCCUCUCAAAUAAAAAAAAUCCCAAAAAACCAAAAACCCCCAAAGCAACCAUAUUUGAAAGAGCCAGGGAUUAUUCAAGUGCUGGUAAGUGUAAUGCACAGUGACCAAAUGCCCAAGUUAAGGAAUCUGCUGGAAAGGAAAUGAACAAUUGGUGCUUCCCAAGUUUCCUAUGAGCGAUUUGGGCUGUAAAAGCCUGCUGUGAUUGUACUUGCUCCCAUGUAUACACUGAGAAUGAGGAGGUCAUUAUAAUGAACUAAGAGUGGGAUUGUUAGUCUGGAGUCUAGAUUGGAAUAUGUCCCUUAAUGCAAACAUUUUCUGGUCAGAAAUAGGAUAUCCAUUAAUCCAAGUGCAAGAACUGUGACUGACUUCACAAUGAGAUUUAUGCCUCUGUGAAAUGAUAUAUAUAUAUAUAUAAAUCAGUAUUUAUAGGAUUCAUGGAAGAAACACUUCCUAUUGUAAAUGAGAUAAUGAAUUUGAAGAACUACCAAAUACCCUUGUUAAGACAGAAAAAAAAAAUUACUUUCAGGUAACUUGUUUGGAAAAUGUUUGUUAUGAAUGAUCUGUUGGUAAAAACAUAGCUGACGUGUUAGAGCUCAAAUCAAGCAAAUAAAAAGCAACAUAAAGACAAUAAAUUUUGAGCAGAGCAUCAUCAUGGCAAAGAACUGACUUCUCUAGUAACACCCUGUGAAUCACUGUGAGGAAAAGAACAGGCAGCAGAGAACAGGAGGCCAGCUGAAACCAUCCCAGGAAAUUGCUGUGCAGAACAAACUGAAUCAAAUCUGUGGAUAUCCAGAGCUUCCCUCUGGCUGCCCUGGCAGGUCUGGAACCCUGGCAGGGGGUCAGGAACCCCCCUGUACAGAGCCCCCAGAGACACUGUUUGUGAUCUCUGUCCAUGGAAAAGAGUUUUCAAUCUUACAGGAUGAAUUACAAGCUCUGAGUGUUUGAUAUGAGUAAUAAUUAAGUGUGGCACGGGUGCAAAAGUAAAAUUUUAGGAUUCUAGAUAAGGCAUCCAAAGGGGACAAGAUGGAGGAAAUUGGGUGUGUCUUGUCCUUUUUCUCCUUCUUCAUGCCCUCCAUGUUUCACUGUGGUGUUGGUAUUUUUCUGUUGGUUUAGGCUGGGGACACACUGUUCAACGUAGGUGACAGAUAUUGGCACGUUAUUGUAAAUCCAGCACAGGUAGUUUCUGGUAUUUAAUGUUUGUAACAUCCCACUGAGGGCAGAGCCCCACACGCUGCCCUGCAGGACAGAGCUGCGGCAGGGCAGCAGAACAUGUUAGAGAUAAACAGAAUAAACAACCUUGAAACAGCACAGACGAAUUAUGGCUUCUGCUUUGGCAGCGGGGCAGAAAGACAGAGAUUUUAUACAAUCUCAGGAUCAUCAAUACCACAGAUUCUGACACAAAUCAAAAGGAUGAGUGGAUAAGUGCAGACCUUCCAGAAGUGUAUUAGUCCUCCAGAAGGAAAGUGGUAGAUUUCACAUUUGAUGUCUGCUAGGAGAUACCAAUAAAAGCACUGCAAGAAGCAAAGGAAAUUCCUCUUCUGUAACACACCAAUAAGACACAGUCUGAGAACAGAGACCUUUUUGUAUAGCCCUAUUUACAUUCCAGGAUUCAUCAAAUUAUCACUCGAGAAUGGAGAAGAGUCUAGUGAGAAGCUGCAUGGCAAAGAACACUGUCCCAGACAUGGAACCUCAACCAGCCUCACCAAAAACCACUGGGAGGAAACUGAGCUUCUGAAAUCAGCACAGGAGACACACACAGAUGUGCUGCUUCACACAUUCUCCAGGAUGAGGGACCAAAUCGAGCCUCACUAAAGGCACAGAAGCCUUGGAAUCAGCAAUGCUGUGCUGGAAUAUUGGGAAACUGCUGCUGCUUUCUUCUUGUUUUUCUGAAACGCAACCUUGGAAAAGACUCCCUGACAACAAUAGUAAUUACAACAACAAUAAUACAAGUACCCUGAUUGUCAGAGUCCAGGACAUCCCCCUGGCUGCCCUGGCUGUCUCGAGACCCUGGCAUGAAUUCAAAAGCAUCUGUGAUUUUAGCCCAUGGAAAAAACUGCCAACUCUGAAUGAGGAAUUACAAGCCACAAGAGUUUGAGUAGCAUGGUAGUUGAAUUAACACAGGGGGAAAAAGUAGAAUUUUAGGGUUUUAAAAUAAGGGGUUCAAGGGGUCAAGAUGGAAGAAUUUGGGUAUGUCCUGGCCUUCUUCUCCUUCUUCUUGUCCUCCAUGUCUUGGUGUGAUGGUGACACUUUUCUAUUGGUUUGAGGUAGAGACACACUGUCUAACAUAAAUUAUUGAUAUUGGCACAUUAUUGUAAAUAUAGUAUACAUAGUUUUUAGUAUAAAAUGUAAAUGCUGCCCAAGGCAAGACACAGAAUGCCAUGGCCAACCUGCUGGACAGAGCUCAGCAGGUCAGAGAAAGAAUGUUACAGAUAAGGAAAAAUAAACAACCUUGAGAAGCU